rnacentral:rRNA from 1 species
GAUGAACGCUAGCUACAGGCUUAACACAUGCAAGUCGUGGGGCAUCAUGAUGUAGUAAUACAUUGAUGGCGACCGGCGCACGGGUGAGUAACGCGUAUCCAACCUACCCUCCACUCAAGUAUAGGCUUCCGAAAGGGAGAUUAAUCCUUGAUAUCGUCAUUCUCUCUCCUGUUAGAAUGAUAAAAGGACAUCGUUUCGGUAGAGGAUGGGGAUGCGUUCCAUUAGGUAGUAGGUGGUUUAACAGGCCACCUAGCCGAUGAUGGAUAGGGGUUCUGAGAGGAAUAUCCCCCACACUGGUACUGAGAUACGGACCAGACUCCUACGGGAGGCAGCAGUGAGGAAUAUUGGUCAAUGGGCGCAAGCCUGAACCAGCCAUGUAGCGUGAAGGAUGGCGGUUUUUUUG